rnacentral:rRNA from 1 species
GGGGGAACCCUGAUCAGCCAUGCCGCGUGAGUGAAGAAGGCCUUAGGGUUGUAAAGCUCUUUCGCCUGUGACGAUGAUGACGGUAGCAGGAGAAGAAGCCCCGGCUAAUUCCGUGCCAGCAGCCGCGGUAAU